GGAGGAUCCAAGCGCUAUCCGGAAUCAUUGGGUUUAAAGGGUCCGUAGGCGGUUUAAUAAGUCAGUGGUGAAAGCCCAUCGCUCAACGGUGGAACGGCCAUUGAUACUGUUAGACUUGAAUUAUUAGGAAGUAACUAGAAUAUGUAGUGUAGCGGUGAAAUGCUUAGAGAUUACAUGGAAUACCAAUUGCGAAGGCAGGUUACUACUAAUUGAUUGACGCUGGUGGACGAAAGCGUGGGUAGCGAACAGGAUUAGAUACCCUGGUAGUCCACGCCGUAAACGAUGGAUACUAGCUGUUGGGAGCAAUCUCAGUGGCUAAGCGAAAGUGAUAAGUAUCCCACCUGGGGAGUACGUUCGCAAGAAUG
rnacentral:rRNA from 1 species